AAAUAAUUAAUGUUUAUUUUUUUAAUAUCAUGUUUUAUUUGUUUUCAGCACUCAGCAAGACAUGCUGGUGAACCCCAACUCUGCGUCUUCAUGAUCAAGGGACCCUUUUACACAACACAAAGGGAUAACGCUGAAUGAAUCACAGACUGGUGGAUGGAUGUUCCUUCCUAACACUUUUAAUUAGCAGCAUCGCCUAUUAGAAUGAACAGAGUGUGGUGUUUCUGCCAUAGAUUACCCCAACCUGCCUUACAUAGAAUAGAAAUUUUAUUCUCCACAAGGUUCAAAAAGGGUUGUAAAGCAGUGGAGACAACUCGCAACAUCAGCAAUGCAUUUGGCCCAGGAACUACUAUGAGUGUACAGUGCAGAGGUGGUUCAAGAAGUUUUGCAGAGACACGAGACUUGAAGAUGAGG
rnacentral:lncRNA from 1 species